ACAAAGGAGUUAUCCCGCAGCCAAGUAAACAUGAAGGUAGCAAUUCCACUUUUUUGUUUUGGGAUAUGUCUGGUGGUUGGUGCGCCAGAAAAGACCUUUCCGUGUAACUUCAACAUUUAUGAUAAAACGAAGGACGGCAAAAUAACAAAGGCAGAGUUUUUCGAAUACACCGCCAAGCAUGGAUAUAACGCCGAACACAGUAGCCUAGUUUUUAGGACUCUGGAUUCAAAUGCUGAUGGUCAAAUAGAAGUCAGUGAGUUUGUCGCUAAUGUCCCAACUCUCCAGAAGCUGUCCUUAAUUAGUCGUUGCAAGCGUUUUCAAAUUACAAUCAUCAUAAAAUGCUGUAAAUCGUCUGCCCUGGUUGGACCUAUGAUGACCUCAAAUGGUUUACAAAGACCUGAUAUGAUCAGCGGUUCAAAUCUCCUUCAGAACCAACUCGGUUAGAAAUCCAACCAUGGACAUACUAAAUGUCAUUGUAGAAAAUAAAAUUUAUCUGAGCCGAU
rnacentral:sRNA from 1 species